CCCCCCGUGGUGUCUCCACCUUGUCGUGGUUGGGGGGCUUAGUACGGCCGUCGGGCUACCGACUCUUCUCGGGGACGGGAGAAGUGGGUGGACCGGGGAGCCGUAAAACCAAGAGAGAC
rnacentral:ribozyme from 1 species